rnacentral:lncRNA from 8 species
AUGGCGGAGGAAGCUCUUGGAAUAACAGUGAAGGAGCUGAAGCAAAAAAGAACUUUAGCUAAAAUCACUUUUACCAAGCAGGCAAACUUCCUCAGCAGAGUCGCAAAGCACAUGACUAAAAGAGAACUACAAGAGGAGUUCAAGAAGCUCAAGUCGGAGGCGAGGACGGUCAGUGAGACAAAUGACGAGUACAGGGCUGGCCUUCUGGCAGACAUUGAAGCUGGAACCGAUGAGGGUGAAGAAGCUAAACUGAGCAAGGAGAAGCAGACUGAAGUUGAGAAGACGUUCCAAGAAUGCGAAGCACGAUUGGAUGAGGUCAGGGAGAUAGUCCAGUCCAAUCUAUGGCCUAGAUAUUGCGAAAAUGAGGUGAAGUCUGCAAUCCAUGAAGCCGAGACAGCCUGUGAUGGAGUUGCUCAGAUACCUGUUACCGCUGUAAACAGAGAUGGCUUUGAGCUACGGUGGGAUAGUGUGAAAACACAAGUCCAAAAUGCAAUCGCAAGCCUAGCAGAGUGGGAGAUGUGGAUUCCGGUGGCAGAAAAGGAAAGGCGCGGAGGGAGAGUGAAGGAUCUGAAGGCAUUCGGCAACAACCUUGAAGCAAGGAGGGCAGGAUUUCUCACAGCACAAAGAAUUGCAGAAGACGAGAGAGACAGAGGGAGAGUGCCGCAGGUGCCCAUGCCAGCUCCACAACCGACACUGAGGAUAAAGCCAAUCUGUCUUCCCAAGUUCAGUGGGUACAAAAGGAACUUCCAUCGAUGGAGAAGAGACUGGGAGAGUCUGCAAAAGCAGGGGGAACCAACAGGCUCAGUCGAAGUAAAGAGGAUCCAACUCAUUGACAGUAUAGAUGAGAGGAUAUGCAGAGGCCUCCGUUUGUCUUCCUACAACACUGCUGAGGACAUGUUCAGGGUGCUGGAAAACAGAUAUGGAAACAAGUCUACAAUUGCCUUGGAGAUAAUGGAGGAUCUGGAGAAAAUUCCUGCUUUAAGGGCAAAUCAGCCUAGAAAAGUUAUCGACAUGAUCCAAACUAUAGAGAAGGCCCUGGAUGACCUCACGGAGCUUGGAAACACAGGAGCCAUCAACAACCCUCUAGUGAUCAGAUCCAUAGAAAGCAAGUUACCUGACGACAUCAAGAGAGAGUGGCUUGUCUUCAUGGUUAAUCCGAGGAAUAAUGUCACACCAGAUAAUCACUUUGAGAACCUUCUUAAAUUCCUGAAAACACAAGAGGAAAUUCUUGAAAAACUGGAGCAGCUGGGAGUGAGUGAAAGGCCAGAAAAGAGAAAUGCUUGCAUGGAGAGGAAAUAUGCAUCCACGCGGUCCACAACGAAAGGAGGCUGUGUUGUGUGUGUGUGGUGA